UUGGAGGGCAAGUCUGGUGCCAGCAGCCGCGGUAAUUCCAGCUCCAAUAGCUUAUAUUAAAGUUGUUGCAGUUAAGAAGCUCGUAGUUGAAUUUCGGGGUUAGUAGGUUGGUCGUGCCACUGGUAUGUACUGGUCUCACUGAUUCCUCCUUCCUGAUGAGCCGUAAUGCCAUUAAUUUGGUGUUGCGAGGAAUCUGGACUGUUACUUUGAAAAAAUUAGAGUGUUUAAAGCAGGCUAACGCUUGAAUACAUUAGCAUGGAAUAAUGAAAUAGGACGUUCGAUCUUAUUUUGUUGGUUUCUAGGAUUGACGUAAUGAUUAAUAGGGAUAGUUGGGGGCAUUAGUAUUCAAUUGUCAGAGGUGAAAUUCUUGGAUUCAUUGAAGACUAACUACUGCGAAAGCAUUUGCCAAGGAUGUUUUCAUUAAUCAAGAACGAAAGUUAGGGGAUCGAAGACGAUCAGAUACCGUCGUAGUCCUAACCAUAAACUAUGCCGACUAGGGAUCGGAUGAUGUUAAUUUUUUAAUGACUCAUUCGGCGCCUUACGGGAAACCAAAGUGUUUGGGUUC
rnacentral:rRNA from 1 species